rnacentral:rRNA from 1 species
GACGAACGCUGGCGGCAUGCCUAAUACAUGCAAGUCGAGCGAACAGAUGAGAAGCUUGCUUCUCUGAUGUUAGCGGCGGACGGGUGAGUAACACGUGGGUAACCUACCUAUAAGACUGGGAUAACUCCGGGAAACCGGGGCUAAUACCGGAUAAUAUAUUGAACCGCAUGGUUCAGUGUUGAAAGACGGUUUCGGCUGUCACUUAUAGAUGGACCCGCGCCGUAUUAGCUAGUUGGUAAGGUAACGGCUUACCAAGGCAACGAUACGUAGCCGACCUGAGAGGGUGAUCGGCCACACUGGAACUGAGACACGGUCCAGACGCCUACGGGAGGCAGCAGUAGGGAAUCUUCCGCAAUGGGCGAAAGCCUGACGGAGCAACGCCGCGUGAGUGAUGAAGGUCUUAGGAUCGUAAAACUCUGUUGUUAGGGAAGAACAAAUUUGUUAGUAACUGAACAAGUCUUGACGGUACCUAACCAGAAAGCCACGGCUAACUACGUGCCAGCAGCCGCCGUAA